UACGUAGGGUGCAAGCGUUAAUCGGAAUUACUGGGCGUAAAGCGUGCGCAGGCGGUUCGGAAAGAAGGAUGUGAAAUCCCAGGGCUUAACCUUGGAACUGCAUUUUUAACUACCGGACUAGAGUGUGUCAGAGGGAGGUGGAAUUCCGCGUGUAGCAGUGAAAUGCGUAGAGAUGCGGAGGAACACCGAUGGCGAAGGCAGCCUCCUGGGAUAACACUGACGCUCAGGCACGAAAGCGUGGGGAGCAAACAGG
rnacentral:rRNA from 1 species